UCUUGAAAAAAGUAUUCAAUAUCUAAGUCCGGCGAAACCGACAUUCCGGUCAGACAUGCAAACCUCGGCUACAAAAAAAAAAAAUACGCCCGUUUUUAUUCAUCCUGUUCAUUUAAUGCUAAAUAAUUUUGUUGGAAAUUUUAGUUUCUAAUAGCAAAAAGGUUGUUUUAAUCCAGAUACGGCCAGAACUGAGUUUUGCUUAAGGCAAGAUUCAGAGUCAUUUUUUU
rnacentral:lncRNA from 1 species